GAUGAACGCUGGCGGCGUGCCUAAUACAUGCAAGUCGAGCGAACAGACGAGGAGCUUGCUCCUUCGACGUUAGCGGCGGACGGGUGAGUAACACGUAGGUAACCUACCUAUAAGACUGGGAUAACUUCGGGAAACCGGAGCUAAUACCGGAUAAUAUUUCGAACCGCAUGGUUCGAUAGUGAAAGAUGGCUUUGCUAUCACUUAUAGAUGGACCUGCGCCGUAUUAGCUAGUUGGUAAGGUAACGGCUUACCAAGGCAACGAUACGUAGCCGACCUGAGAGGGUGAUCGGCGACACUGGAACUGAGACAGGGUCCAGACUCCUACGGGAGGCAGCAGUAGGGAAUCUUCCGCAAUGGGCGAAAGCCUGACGGAGCAACGCCGCGUGAGUGAUGAAGGUCUUCGGAUCGUAAAACUCUGUUAUUAGGGAAGAACAAACGUGUAAGUAACUGUGCACGUCUUGACGGUACCUAAUCAGAAAGCCACGGCUAACUACGUG
rnacentral:rRNA from 1 species